rnacentral:rRNA from 1 species
UAGGGGGGGGGGGUGCUAAUACAUGCAGUCGAACGCUUCUUUCCUCCCGAGUGCUUGCACUCAAUUGGAAAGAGGAGUGGCGGACGGGUGAGUAACACGUGGGUAACCUACCCAUCAGAGGGGGAUAACACUUGGAAACAGGUGCUAAUACCGCAUAACAGUUUAUGCCGCAUGGCAUAAGAGUGAAAGGCGCUUUCGGGUGUCGCUGAUGGAUGGACCCGCGGUGCAUUAGCUAGUUGGUGAGGUAACGGCUCACCAAGGCCACGAUGCAUAGCCGACCUGAGAGGGUGAUCGGCCACACUGGGACUGAGACACGGCCCAGACUCCUACGGGAGGCAGCAGUAGGGAAUCUUCGGCAAUGGACGAAAGUCUGACCGAGCAACGCCGCGUGAGUGAAGAAGGUUUUCGGAUCGUAAAACUCUGUUGUUAGAGAAGAACAAGGACGUUAGUAACUGAACGUCCCCUGACGGUAUCUAACCAGAAAGCCACGGCUAACUACGUGCCAGCAGCCGCGGUAAUACGUAGGUGGCAAGCGUUGUCCGGAUUUAUUGGGCGUAAAGCGAGCGCAGGCGGUUUCUUAAGUCUGAUGUGAAAGCCCCCGGCUCAACCGGGGAGGGUCAUUGGAAACUGGGAGACUUGAGUGCAGAAGAGGAGAGUGGAAUUCCAUGUGUAGCGGUGAAAUGCGUAGAUAUAUGGAGGAACACCAGUGGCGAAGGCGGCUCUCUGGUCUGUAACUGACGCUGAGGCUCGAAAGCGUGGGGAGCAAACAGGAUUAGAUACCCUGGUAGUCCACGCCGUAAACGAUGAGUGCUAAGUGUUGGAGGGUUUCCGCCCUUCAGUGCUGCAGCAAACGCAUUAAGCACUCCGCCUGGGGAGUACGACCGCAAGGUUGAAACUCAAAGGAAUUGACGGGGGCCCGCACAAGCGGUGGAGCAUGUGGUUUAAUUCGAAGCAACGCGAAGAACCUUACCAGGUCUUGACAUCCUUUGACCACUCUAGAGAUAGAGCUUUCCCUUCGGGGACAAAGUGACAGGUGUGCAUGGAUGUCGUCAGCUCGUGUCGUGAGAUGUUGGGUUAGUCCCGCACGAGCGCACCCUUAUUGUUAGUUGCCAUCAUUAGUGGGCACUUCUAGCGAGACUGCGGUGACAACCGGAGAAGGUGGGGAUGAACGUCGAUCAUCAUGCCUUAUGACCUCUGGCUAACACUGCUCAUGGGGAGAUACACAAGUGCUCUUGAAUCACGCAGAGCAUGGUCUCAAAAUCUCUCUUCUU